rnacentral:misc_RNA from 1 species
CUUGCAGCAUCACUCUCCUCUGCCCUAUCUUUGGGCCGGAAAAACACUGAUGGCACUGAAAGCAUUGACACAAUUGUCAAAACCUCAUUUAUACAUCCUAGUUGUUCUCCCAUCAAGAGCAUCUGGGUCUAGAGGAAACUCCACCAUUUUCCAGCCAAGAUCAGUUAGGCCUCCAACAUUGUUGAGUGCACCCAAGACCCACAACUGAUACAUUGAAUUAAGGAUGUUAUCCUGUGGAGGUGGGUCCAUGAAAUCAAAAUCUAGCAAGUUGUCAAUCUUCAGAGACUUGAGCAACAAAACCACAUUACCAAGGUUGGUCCUCUGGAUCUCUGGCACUGGACUGGGCAGCAUUUCAUUGAGGUAUGCACUUUCUGUAUAAAGCCUAUAACACGUGCCAGGGCCAGUUCUACCAGCACGUCCAGCACGCUGAUCAGCAGCAGCACGGCUAACAGGGAAAACUUGGAGAGCAUCCAUGCCCAUCCUAGGAUUGUAAACUUUCAUUUUACCAUAUCCUGUAUCAAUAACAUAAAAAAUUCCAUCAACUGUCAGCGACGUUUCUGCAAUGUUUGUGGCAACGAUGCAUUUGCGGGCCCCAUCCUCAGCUUUCUGGAAUAUCUUGGCUUGCAAAUCAGCUGGUAGUUGGGAGUAUAUAGGCAGUAUCAAGAGCUUAGGGACUGCUUUUUUUGUCGUAGAUAUAAGUUGUUCCAUGCGCUCAGCAAGGGCAUAGCAGGCUGCUUCUAUCUCAUCUUGGCCGGUCAUAAAAAUAAGUAUGUCACCUGGAGGACUUGUAAUGUGGAUGGUCAUUGCUUGCUUCACUGCUCCUUCAACGUAAUCUUCACAAGGCGUUUUGCUGUACAAGAUAUUCACUGGGAAUGUUCUUCCUGGAAUGUGGAAAAUUGGAACACUUCCAAAGAAAUUAGAAAAUUUCUCAGCAUUUAGAGUUGCAGAUGUCACAAUGAGCUUGAAGUCACGACGCUGGGCAACCACCUUUUUUAGUAUUCCAAACAAAACAUCUGUGUUUAACGAUCUUUCAUGUGCUUCAUCCAUGACUACAACCCGAUACUUGUCAAGAUCAGAAUCUUUCAGAGUUUCACGCAAUAGCACUCCAUCAGUCAUAUACUUAAUUAUGGUGUUUGGCCCAGUCACAUCCUCAAAACGGAUAGCAUAACCAACCUUAUCUCCCAAUUCAGUUUCCAUCUCUUCGCUAACUCUCUUUGCAACACUCAUGGCUGCCACACGCCUUGGUUGGGUGCAACCAACUAUACCACUUUUUGUAUACCCAUCUUCGUGUAGAUACUGUGUCAGUUGAGUAGUCUUUCCUGAACCAGUUUCUCCAACAACAACCACCACCUGAUUUUCACGAACCACCUGUAAUAAAUCCUCUCGCACUGAAUAUAUGGGCAGAUAUUGUCGCUGCUCAGCAAUGGAUUUUGACCUUGCAAAAUCACUCACAGCUUCCUCCUUUUUCAAAUGCUGUGCAAAUUUUGCAUCUUCCUUAAAAUCAACUUCACCUUCUUCACCUACUACAGCUGUAUCGGCAUCAAUCUGUUCUGCUGUCUUCUCAACACCAAGAAUAUCACCAAGUUUUGAGCCAGCAAGCUCCCAAAAACGCUGGCGUGACUUAUUCAUACUUUGCUUCUCAUGAAUUUCUCUAACCAAAGCAGAUCCUUUGCGUGAAAUAAUGGCCAUGUCUGAGGUAGGAUCUUUUAUGGGCAUUAUAGGCUCUGCUUGUUUAGUAAAAACAACUCUUCCAUCCAGGAAUGGAGGUUUUGUAUCAUGUACAAGAAGAAUGACCUUGCGUUCUUCCUCGUCAUCAAAAUUAGUCUGCACUUCAGUACCCCUAACAGCUCCAGAUCUUAAUAAUUGCCGGUCCUCCCAUUGGGCAUUGUCAGCAGUAAGUUGAGACAACCUUUUGCUUUGUGCAAGUGACAUUCUGGUGCCAUCUCUUCGAACCAGCCUUUUGGCCAAUUCUGCUUCUUUUUUCUGGAAUGAGGCAUCAUCUCCAAGGAAAAAAGAUGAGCUAUCAGCAUCAAACAUUGUGUUACCUUCUUCUCUAUCAUACCAUGCUCGAUCAGAAUUGUACUCCAUCUCUAGGCGCAUGCUUUCAGUAAUCUCAUGAUUGUGUUCCUCAGAUGAAUAAGCUUUAUCUGCUCCUUCCUCCUCUAAUGAUUGUGACCUUGCAGAGGAGAAAGUAAGUUGAUGGGACUUCCCACCAUUCCUAGAACUAGAAGACUUAGCUGAAGAUCCAGAGGCACGAAUCGGAACUGGAGAGGGAGCAAUCUGAUCCCAUGGAGAAGCGGUAGAACCAAUAGAAGAAGGUGUAUGGCUGCCCAACCAUGGGGAAACUAAUCG